rnacentral:lncRNA from 1 species
GGAUAGAUGGGGAAGCUGAGGCCCAGAAGGGGGCUGAGACCACCUCCCAGUUUCCCCAGUGAGGUGGCGCCUGAGCCACGGCCAGGCCCGGCCUCCUUCCACCCGGCCCUGCUGUGCGCGCGGCGGGUGCUGACCUGGCGAGGCCGGACAGGGGACCAGGUCGGGGUGACCGUCACUGACACCUGGACAGUCCUCGUUGUGUUCGGGGUGGGAAGCCCACGGAUCUUCAGAGGGAAGGCACCAGGAGUGGACUGCGGGACACCCAGAGUGGACUGCAGGAGGACACAGAAGCUAGGCUGAAGCGGGAGGAAGCUGGGAACCCUGCACGGGGCCACUGCGCACUGGGACUCGUUACUGGUCCCCAAGACUCAGGGAGAAUGGGGAAGAGUGUAUCACAGCCAUUGGGAACUUUCUUCACCCAUCAAAGCCUCAGGGCUGAAGCAUCCUGAACAAGAACUCAGGAGAGUGAAAGAAACAGUUACCUGUCGGCUGCAGCUGGUACCAGCUCCCCACCCCGUACAGAGACCGAAGCGUCCUCUCUCUCCCCAUCACCCAGCACCAGACUCUGCCCCGCGACCUCAGCCUGCACCUGCUUCCUGGCUCCAUCCAGCCUUCCAGCCUCACUAGAUCAUCAUGGGCCACUGGCCAACACACAGGGCAGUGCCGAGCCCAGGCCGUGGUCACACAUGGCUGGGUUAGUAGCUGAAAACAUUGUUUUUCACUGGCCUCACAGUAAUGGCACCUGCCCCCAUUUUCUGUGAUUGAAUUUUUGGAUCCUGCUACCAGGUUAUGAUAGAUUUUAUGGUAUGUCUCAAGAUAUUGAGAUAAAGGUAA